UUGAGUCUCGUAGAGGGGGGUAGAAUUCCAGGUGUAGCGGUGAAAUGCGUAGAGAUCUGGAGGAAUACCGGUGGCGAAGGCGGCCCCCUGGACGAAGACUGACGCUCAGGUGCGAAAGCGUGGGGAGCAAACAGGAUUAGAUACCCUGGUAGUCCACGCCGUAAACGAUGUCGACUUGGAGGUUGUGCCCUUGAGGCGUGGCUUCCGGAGCUAACGCGUUAAGUCGACCGCCUGGGGAGUACGGCCGCAAGGUUAAAACUCAAAUGAAUUGACGGGGGCCCGCACAAGCGGUGGAGCAUGUGGUUUAAUUCGAUGCAACGCGAAGAACCUUACCUGGUCUUGACAUCCACAGAACUUUCCAGAGAUGGAUUGGUGCCUUCGGGAAC
rnacentral:rRNA from 1 species